GAAUGAAGAACGCAGCGAAAUGCGAUAACUAAUGUGAAUUGCAGAAUUCAGUGAAUCAUCGAGUCUUUGAACGCACAUUGCGCCCCCUGGUAUUCCGGGGGGCAUGCCUGUCCGAGCGUCAUUGCUGCCCUCAAGCACGGCUUGUGUGUUGGGCUCCGUCCCCCCGGGGACGGGCCCGAAAGGCAGCGGCGGCACCGAGUCCGGUCCUCGAGCGUAUGGGGCUUUGUCACCCGCUCUGUAGGCCCGGCCGGCGCCAGCCGACAACCCAUCAUCCUUUUCAGGUUGACCUCGGAUCAGGUAGGGAUACCCGCUGAACUUAAGCAUAUCAAUAAGCGGAGGA
rnacentral:misc_RNA from 1 species